rnacentral:lncRNA from 1 species
GCAGGGUCAUGUUUCGUGUGGAUGCUAGCUCCGGAUGUCGAUCUUUCCGAAGAAAUUCAUUCGUAGUUAUCUGAGAGCCUUUGAAAUCUUUAUAUCUUUUUUCUUAAAGCAUACAUAUAUAUAGAUAAAAAAAUAAUAAAAUUUAUGCUUCAUAAUCAUGCAACGUUUUAUAAAAUACAUUCAUGCAAUCAAUGCUCAUAAUAAAACAUGCUUUUUCAUAUCACAUAUGCUGAUUCUUAUU